UACGAAGGGGGCUAGCGUUGUUCGGAUUUACUGGGCGUAAAGCGCACGUAGGCGGAUCGAUCAGUCAGGGGUGAAAUCCCAGGGCUCAACCCUGGAACUGCCUUUGAUACUGUCGAUCUGGAGUAUGGAAGAGGUGAGUGGAAUUCCGAGUGUAGAGGUGAAAUUCGUAGAUAUUCGGAAGAACACCAGUGGCGAAGGCGGCUCACUGGCCCGAUACUGACGCUGAGGCACGAAAGCGUGGGGAGCAAACAGG
rnacentral:rRNA from 1 species